rnacentral:rRNA from 1 species
UACGUAGGGUGCAAGCGUUGUCCGGAAUUAUUGGGCGUAAAGAGCUCGUAGGCGGUCUGUCGCGUCGGCUGUGAAAACCCGGAGCUCAACUCCGGGCCUGCAGUCGAUACGGGCAAACUGGAGUGUUGCAGGGGAGACUGGAAUUCCUGGUGUAGCGGUGAAAUGCGCAGAUAUCAGGAGGAACACCGGUGGCGAAGGCGGGUCUCUGGGCAGUUUGGCUGACACUGAGGCGCGACAGCGUGGGGAGCAAACAGG